GAGGAAUAUUGGUCAAUGGGCGAGAGCCUGAACCAGCCAAGUAGCGUGCAGGAUGACGGCCCUAUGGGUUGUAAACUGCUUUUGUAUGGGGAUAAAGUCAACCACGUGUGGUUGUUUGCAGGUACCAUACGAAUAAGGACCGGCUAAUUCCGUGCCAGCAGCCGCGGUAAUACGGAAGGUCCGGGCGUUAUCCGGAUUUAUUGGGUUUAAAGGGAGCGUAGGCUGGAGAUUAAGUGUGUUGUGAAAUGUAGACGCUCAACGUCUGACUUGCAGCGCAUACUGGUUUCCUUGAGUACGCACAACGUUGGCGGAAUUCGUCGUGUAGCGGUGAAAUGCUUAGAUAUGACGAAGAACUCCGAUUGCGAAGGCAGCUGACGGGAGCGCAACUGACGCUGAAGCUCGAAGGUGCGGGUAUCGAACAGGAUUAGAUACCCUGGUAGUCCGCACAGUAAACGAUGGAUGCCCGCUGUUGGUACCUGGUAUCAGCGGCUAAGCGAAAGCAUUAAGCAUCCCACCUGGGGAGUACGCCGGCAACGGUG
rnacentral:rRNA from 1 species